AAAUUGAAGAGUUUGAUCAUGGCUCAGAUUGAACGCUGGCGGCAGGCCUAACACAUGCAAGUCGAACGGUAGCACAGAGAGCUUGCUCUCGGGUGACGAGUGGCGGACGGGUGAGUAAUGUCUGGGAAACUGCCUGAUGGAGGGGGAUAACUACUGGAAACGGUGGCUAAUACCGCAUAACGUCGCAAGACCAAAGAGGGGGACCUUCGGGCCUCUUGCCAUCAGAUGUGCCCAGAUGGGAUUAGCUGGUUGGUGAGGUAACGGCUCACCAAGGCGACGAUCCCUAGCUGGUCUGAGAGGAUGACCAGCCACACUGGAACUGAGACACGGUCCAGACUCCUACGGGAGGC
rnacentral:rRNA from 1 species